rnacentral:rRNA from 1 species
UGAAGUUGACCUCCCUGGGGAGUUACGGCCGCAAGUUUAAAACUCAAAGGAAUUGACGGGGACCCGCACAUGCGGUUGGUUGAUUUGGAUUAAUUAGAUGUAAGGUGAAAAACUUUACUUACCCUUGACAUUCCAGGAACUUUCCAGAGAUGGUUUGGUGCUCGAAAGAGAGCUUGGACACAGGUGUUGCAUGGCUGUCGUCAGCUCGUUUCGUGAGAUGUUGGUUUAUGUCCCGCAACGAGCGCAACCUUUGUCGUUAAUUGCCAUCAUUAAGUUGGGCACUUUAGCGAGACUGCCGGUGACAAACCGGAGGAAGGUGGGGAUGACGUCAAGUCCUCAUGGCCCUUAUGGGUAGGGCUUCACACGUCAUACAAUGGUCGGUACAGAGGGUUGCCAAGCCGCGAGGUGGAGCCAAUCCCAGAAAGCCGAUCGUAGUCCGGAUUGGAGUCUGCAACUCGACUCCAUGAAGUCGGAAUCGUUUAGUAUUCGCAGAUCAGCAUGCUGCGGUGAAUA